rnacentral:lncRNA from 10 species
GGGAGAAAGGGUGAUGUGAGCCCAGAGAGAUUGUAUUACCAAAUUGCAAAAACGGAGUGAAUGGGGAGAGAUGAAAGGAGCCGAGACCAAGACUGGGAGCGGGGACCACCAUCCAAUGGCCUGAGAGAGCUGGAAGGCUUUUCUGAAAUGAGGUACCACUCCCCGGGACACAGGUGCAUGCCCAGCAUCACUGUGGGAUAUGACUUCAGGAAUCUGAGGCCUCAUCCCCAAAGCCAAGAGGCGCUUGCAGGAGAAAGCCAUCUAUAUCUUGUCGUUUAGCUUCACACACUCUUGCGUUCACUUUCCUGAAGACGAGAGAACCGAGGGGACAAUGCAAAUCCCAUUCAAUACUAGGGCAAGUGCAAUUCAGGGAGCUUAGCUGAACUGCUCAAGAUGUAGGGCAAGUGAGGGAAAAAGACCACGUUUAAAACCUCUCACCUGCUGGAAAACCAUCAGCGCAUAGCAGCUGAGAGGGAACGCUCUAUCUGUGCUCACUCUUUCUACAUUUUGGAAGCAGCGAGGGGGUGAUAAGGCAAGUUCGUGUUCAUUGUCCUGCAUACCUUUUCCUCCAGGGAUCAAUAGUUCGUUCCAGCUGAGAGCGUGAAAUGUGUCUAACAGGGACACAGGUUAGAUCCUGGUGGUCCUUAUCUCUACUUUGCUUGUCUAAGUCUACGCCACUUCUCCAAGAAGCAAAUGUAUCCCUAAUAUUGGGUUUCACCACGCCGAGUGCCCUUCAGUUCUCGUUAAAUUCCAUUCUUUGUCUCCUGUAUUCUUUUCUCUCUGUGAUUACCACUUCUUUGCAUAUUUCUUCUGGAGCUCUCUACAUAGGCUCCAAAGCCCUGCCUUGGAGGUAAAUCCUUAGCCUCGAUGAGUAGGCAGCAAGCCCCUCUUGCACACAACAAAGACUUCUAUUUUUUUUUCUAUCUUUUGGGCGACACGAUAAAAAAUAACCCUGUAUUUAUGCAAAUUGCAAAGUAGCGUGUGAUAAUGAAAACAAAACAGUGCUGGCCCGCAGCCAAGACAUGGCGCUGACGGGAGCUCCCCGACCAUUUGGCUCUUGAUUCUUCGGGGAAAGCAGCUGUAGAGAAAUGAGAAUACAGGACCCCCUCCUCACACUCGCACACCCUGGUUCGCACGCAUUCCGGUACCCGUCACCUCGGAGCCAGCGAGACCUGGGAUCCAAAUGCGGUUCUGCCUCCUCCGGCCGUGGAGCACUGCAGUGUCGUCCUCCACGAGCCUCCCUGCCCCUGCUCCUGAUUCCCUUUCAGGAAUUUACAAACAUUUUCCCCAGAUCAAUAUCCGUAUUGAUUAUUCAUUGUGAGUGAGUCGUGUGUCUUUGGUGAUCCAGCUUGCAGAGGUAGCAGGCAAAGGCUGCUGCGGGGGAAAAAAAUAACAGAAGGCGAGAGGGACCCAGCUCUUGCUGGGUCUGCGGCUGUCGGCAACACAGAAGGGAAGAGAAAAAGAGAAAAGCACCUCAAAACCAAGGAAUGGACACGGGUGGAAGAGAAAGAGGGAGCAAUAGCAAGAAAAAAGGAAUCGAUGACUGGACAUCUGGUCCCAGGGAAUCUCGAUGGCUUGGAGGAAACCCCCAUCUUGGGUCUGCUGUUACGUGCAGGACGCAAUGGACUUUGCUCUGGGAGUGCAAAGUGACUCACAGUUUUGGUAUCUCCUACGUAAGAGCUUUGGGGGGAUUCCUUGGCUUGCUGACAGGCAAGGAAGACAGCGGCAGCAGUGAGGUAAAACACGAUUACUUCCAACUGCCUUGCGGAGGAGGCGCAGUCGUGCGGUGUGACUUGGACAGCUUGCUGCUCUCUGAUGGCACGCGGAGGGAGAAUAAUUAAAAAGGCCAGCAUCACUUACUAAGACUCCCCAGUACAUUCCAAGUUUCCUGAGCAGGAGAAAUAGAUUUUGCAGAAGUGAGCCACGGAGACCCAAAUGAGGAGGAAAUAAACCAGCUGUGGAUGACUUGGGCACCCUCCAUCGCAUGUGUUUGGCAUUCAUAGAGACCUGUGUCUGCAGUGUGUGUGUGUGCGUGUGUGAAGCACUCUUCAUCUCAAGUGAGUAAGAAAAAAAAGAUAGAAAUCCCCAGAAGAGAGAGAUCCUGCCUGUAGUUUGGAAGAAGCCACGCGGUACCUGAGAUAACUUCAACAGCAAAGGGCACUUCAGCAAAUGGUGAAGACAGCAAGAAGGCUCCUCUUCUCACACAAUGACAUCUCACAAUCGUGCAGGGCUUUCCAAUUUCCACGGUGCUCUUCACACAUAUUACCCUGUUUAAUUCUCACUACAACCAGUGAUAUCGGCGAGACAGAUAGUCUUUAGCUAACUUUACAGAUGAGGGUACUCAGGCUCACAGAGAGAGGACUUGCCUAAGGUUGAAAGAUAAUAAGAGACAGCUGCAGGUCUUCUGGGUCUUAAUCUGGUGCCAUUUUAGUAUUUUUCAUAGGUUCUUAUAAAAAACAUCCUCUUUAGAACCCGUGACUUAAAGGUGCCUUGAUUCUUAAAAAAUAAAAUUCUUUAGAGAUAGGGUCUUGCUGUGUUGUCCACGCUGGAGUGGUCACAGCUCACUGCAGCCUUAUUCUCCUGGGAUCAAGUAAUCCUCUCACCUCAGCCUCUUAAGUAGCUGGGACUACAGGUGCACACCACUAUGCCCAGCUAAUUUUUUUUAAAAGAUGGGGUUUUGCCAUGUUGUCUACCCUGGACUGAGACUCCUGCCCUCAAGCAAAUCCUCCUCCAAAUUGCUGGAAUUAUGGGUGUGAGCCACCAAAUGCAGCCUUUUUUUUUUUUUUUUUUUUUUUGGAGAGAACACGGUCUUGCUUUGUAGCUUGAGCUAGUAUUGAACUCCUGGCCUCAAGCUAUCUUCCUGCCUCAGCCUCCUAAAGUGCUGGGAUUACAGGCAUGAGCCACUAUGCCCACCCGCUUCCUUGAUUCUUGAUCCAUGCUCAUCCCCGCCUCACUUCUUCACCAUGAGGUUUUUUUUCUCAUAGCCUAUGUUAUUUGUAGUUAUGUGCACUUUGAAAAUACUUCCUGUAUCCUGCCAGCGAGGAAGAACCACAGCUAAUUUCCACUGGCAAAGGCAGAAGCCAUCCUUAACUUCCCAUUUUCCUCUAUUUGUUCCUCCUUUCCUUGAAAGUCAAGUUUACCCAUGAGCUGGUCUACAUUUGUACUAUUUUUACUUCUUCACUCCGCUUUGCAUCUCUACCCAGGGCUAUCUGCUUUCAUUCCUACUUUCCCAUUAAAACUGCUCUAAGUCAUUAACAACCAAUUCCACUGUGCCUUCCUCUCUGAAUCAUUGUAUUCAGUGACCACUCCCUCUCGCAAGACGUCUCCUCUGUCAUACCUGGCAUCAUUCUAUUCCUUCUUCAUUUCUGGUUACCUCCUCUCUAGCUUCAUGUCAGACUUAUCUUCCUUUAUUAAUGCCUUAAAUAUUAGUGUUUCUGAAGAGGGUUUCUGUGGCCACCUUCUAUUCUUAACUGUAAACACUUUGUUUUGUGUAAUGUAAAGCCUUGGCUUCAAUGAUCAUCUAUAGGCUGAUCAUCAAUUAUCAUCUCCAUCCCAAACCACUCUCCUGAAUUCAACCCAGGAUCUCUGGCUCCCUGCUGUUACCUCCUUGGGAUGGUCCACGAGCCCUUCAAUUCAGGGCACCCCAAAUCAUCCCCAAACCUGCCUCCCUUCACCCUCUUCUUUUUCUCCCCCAGCUGCUCUUCAAAUUCUCUCAUUUCUUUCCCUAUUUCUAUUUUCUCUUUUUUAUUGUAUUCCUAUCGCUCUUCUCUUAUUUUCCUAGUGGCUUUUCCAAAGGCCUAACUGUUCUCAUCAUUCUCAGAUAUGCCUUGCCCACAAUGCCUUCUCUGUACUAUGUCUAAUUGACCUACAGAAAGUGCAAAUGUGAUUAUCUUGCUCGCCUUUGUGAGAUCCUUCUGAGGAUCCCACCUUCUUACAUGGCCUUCCAGGCUGUUCAUGACCUGUGUGCUGCCUCUCCCUCGCCUGCUCUCUUCUAACUCGUCCAUUGCCCAUGCUCUGCUUCUAGGUCAUAAAAUGCCCCAUAACUCUUUCAUGCCUCUAGGAUUCCAUAUGAGGUUCCUGCUUCCUGGAACGUUCACCUCGGCUUCCUUCAUUUGACCAACUCCUCCUCCCCUUUCAAGACUGUUCCAGCAAGAAGCAUUUCUCCCCCGACCGAAACCUCCCAUGCUGGGUUACGUGCUACUGCAAGACCCUAUUCCUGCUUCCCUCUCCCACAGCAUGACUCCACUUUCACAAUGACCAAGUUUUCCCAUUUGACCAUGAGACACAUGGAGGCAGAGACCGUGCCCUUCAUCCCUGUCUUCCCAGCACCCAGCACAGAUCCCAAAAUAAACUGGGUGCUUAAUAAAUUAAUAUUACUAUUUUUAUUCCAAGUAUCAUAAAUAGUAUUUUUCCAGCUGUAAGAUUACAGGCCUCCAAAAUAAUCAAGCUGAGGGAAAUACAGCGACCGUUUCCCAUAGAGAAAAAAGGAUUUCCUAUUGGGCAAUUCUCACCUACAUCACUUUUUUGACUUCUUUCAGGCGAGAGACAAGCAGUGGGGUGGUCUUUAGGUGUUUGCUGAUGUGGUAGAAACUUUGGAGUUAAUUAGAAGCUCUGGCUAAGGCCGAACUUCCUUUGCAGAGUUCCUGGGAGGAAACACUAAAUUAACAGUUCAAGGUUACUAUUAGAAAAAUGGCCUGUUUCCCUAUGUUAUGCCUCAGAGAGUUUGUUCUUCUCUCUGCCAUUUCUAAGAUGUUUCCAUUUUCCUUUUUACCUGGGUAGGUUUGCCACCCUAAGCCCAGUCAUUCCAACACAGGUGAAAGCUCUUGAGGUCAGGGACUGAUUCUUCGCCUAUCUUCCAGCAGCGGUAGAUUCUGGGGCACUCAAUUAGUACCUGGUGGAGUUGAAUAGUGAGAAAAUCUGCUCAUCACAGAAGAAGGAACGGGGAUGAUUUCCUAAGUUCCCAUUUUCCACAAAGCAGAAAAUGGCAUGAGAUCAGUAGUACCAGACCUCCCUGGCAGUGCUAGAAAUAUCUCAAGAUACUAUGAGCAAUUUCUAAAUUUGGAAAUGCACUGAUUCUUGUUAUUUGCAGUAGUUAUGCUCUGUAAAGUUGCCACAGACACUGAGUUAGUGAAUACCGAACCAUCGCUCCUAGGGGAAAUAGAGAAUUAGGUUCCUGCAAGCCUCUGGUCACAAUGUUUUCAUCAAUGAAUCAAUACAGAGCCUCGUUUUAUGUGUGUUCCUGUUGAAGAUUUAAGAACCUUAUUUUGUGUGUGUGUGUGUGUGUGUGUGUGUGUGUAUAUCUAUACAUAUAGUUACUUAACAUUGAACUCAUGGCCAAUAACACUAUAAUGCAUACCUGAAUGAAGCUUAAUUUACACAUGUGUUUUCUUUGUAAGGGACACCACAGCCUUCUUGUGCUUAGGACCACCAGACGGUACUUUUGCAUCAUGCUUGCAGGGUAUUUUCUUUUCUUUUUUUUUUUGAGACAGUCUUGCUCUGUCACCCAGGCUGGAGUGCAUGGGUGCCAUUUUGGCUCACUGCAACCUCCACCUCCUGGGUUCAAGUGAUUCUCCAGCCUCAGCCUCCCGAGUAGCUGGGAUUACAGGCACAUGCCACCAUGCCUGGAUCAUUUUUGUAUUUUUAGUAGAGACAGGGUUUCCCCAUGUUCGCCAGUCUGAUCUCGAACUCCUGACCUCAAGUGAUCUGCCCACCUCGGCCUCUCAAAGUCCUGGGAUUACAGGUGUGAGCCACUGUGCCCAGCGUUGCAGGGUAUUUUAAAUGACAAAAUCACCAACUAAGAGCACAAAAUGUCAACAACAUGGCAUUAUGAAAAGAACACUUGUUUAUAGUAUGAGAGAUAAAACAGGAAGCAGACCCUUAUUUGACCUCAGCUGGGAACACACACAUUGGGCGACUUGAUGUUUUCACCUCCCUGCAUGUGUCUGUGAAUAAUGAUGAAAGUGCUGCAAGUAUUGAUUUUGAAGUUACAACUAAAUUUCAAUGAGUAGGUGAAUUUGCAAAUACGGAAUCUGUGAAUAAUGAGGUAAUACAUACUAUCAGGAUAUACUAGUGAAAGAGUAGAGUUUUGCUUAUUUCCAAAUAGAGAAAAGGAUCAUCAAACUCACAGGGCAUUUCUGACUUUGAAGUCCCUUCUUUAAAUUGUACAAAACAUCUACUUUCUGGCAAAGUUCAUCUGUGCUUUCUUAGAAGUUUUCAUAUAAAUAAUUGGCACUCACCAGAAGUUGUCUAACUGUUGGGGAUGGGGUGGUGCAUUUUUCUCAAAGAAAGAAAACUGGUUUGCUGCCAGGAGAGGCAAAGACUAGGCAAUUGAUGAGACCCCACUGGAAGCUGAAGGACCUCCCGCUGUUUAUGAUUUAAAGUCGGCCUUGGCGAAAUGACAGAUGACUCACGUUAGGCACCUGUGCCCAUAUACAGAGGAUUAUACAUGAUAGUCUGAAAAGUAUUCUUUUGAGCUAAAUCUUGCCCUUUUUGAGUUAUACCAUCAUGACAUUUCAUAUGGAAAGCAGCUGCUUAGAAACUCAUUUUUGCUUUUUGCUUAUUGAGUCCCAUCUUGUUGCAAAGAAUGGAUACAGAAUUCUAAAACGCAAUGCUACCCUUUUCACACUAACCAAAGGCACAGAGGUACAUGUGUUUUAGAUGUCAGGAAAGGGGGUCACUCAGGCAUGCAGAGUGGACUGAGAGGAGAAGUGUAGUGAGAUUCAGAAACUAAGAGUAAUAAAAGGAGGGUUGGGGGCCGGGCGCGGUGGCUCAUGCCUGUAAUCCCAGCACUUUUGGAUGCCCAGGCGGGUGGAUCACCUGAGGUCAGGAGUUCAAGACCAGCCUGACCAACAUGGAGAAACCCCGUCUCUACUAAAAACACAAAAUAAGCUGGACAUGGUGGCACAUGCCUAUAAUCCCAGCUACUUGGGAGGCUGAGGCAGGAGAAUCGCUUGAACCCAGGAGGCGGAGGUUGCGGUGAAGCAAGAUCGUGCCAUUGCACUCUAGCUGGGGCAAUAAGAGCAAAACUCCGUCUCAAAAAAAAAAAAAAAAAAAAAAAAAGGAGUGUUGGGCACUUCUUACUACGUCUUAUUAAAAGUCUAUUUGGAGUUAGUUCCAUCAGGAUCAGAAUCUCUGCUCUCUUAUUAGUAUUGUGAUCCUAAAACGUUGAGUGACCCCUUUGAGAACUGCUCUCUCUUCUGUGAAAUGGGACCCUAAUACCAACCUCUUGGAAUCACUGUGAGGCUUAAAUGAGAUAACAAUGUCAAGUGCUGGGCUCUAAGUCCAGCAGAAAGUUGGUAAUCAUUGCUUUUGCUAGCAUCUUCUGGGUUCCUAACUAGCAAUCUGACUUUUUGGGCAUAUUCAUGGAGAUACGGAAGACUGGAGUUGAAGAGACCUGCUCUGGGUCAACUUCCUUACUUUAUAGAGGAGAAAGUAGGCUGAGUGGGGUCCAACCAGCACAAGUAUCACAAAGGUAGUCAGGGCAGAAUAAGAAGGAGAACCUAGCUCCCUGAAGCCCAGUUCACAAUUAUACAGUAGGGUCCUGGUGCCUAGAUUUCCACUCCAGAUCCUCCUUCUACAACUAUGAACUGUCUGCCACCCCCACACCCACCCCAUUAGCCUGGUAACUACUGCUCCAUGGGUUAGUGUCUUCUUUGGCAGAAAGACUUGGUGCUACAUCAGCCAAGUUAGAAUUUUUUAGAGCAGGAACCACUGAGUGUGAGUUUUUCGUGUCUCUUGACUAUACAUAAAAAUAGCUAUGAACAGAUAAUACUCACAGCAUAUUAAUGUAAGACAAAGCAAAACGGAUCACAGAAGCUACAGAAGGAAUGCUCCUUUUAAAAGAGAUCAAUUAUUUCUUCAGUUCUCUGUAGCAAUUUGCAAGAUGCUCCCUUGGAAAAGCCCACAGGGAAAUGCUGCUGGAUAUAUAAACCCUAAAGCUUAUAACUGAUCAUGCAAUAACGAGACAAGAAAGCUGUGCUGGACAAACUGGAUGAGGCUGGUUAAUUUCCAACAAGCCUGUCUUAACGAGCGGAGUACAGGCUUAACACUGGCCAUUUCAAGGUGCCAGCAACCUUGCCAUCAGUGUGGAGGUGUGGGGUAGAGGGUAAGAUAGCACAGUCCUGGGGAAGCCAUUGCAGCAACUGGGCCGUGCUAUGGAAUAAUGAAUCACGAGGCAUUUGGGCAAGAAGUUAUAACCAGAAGGACGUGGCAAUAGCAAGACAAAUCACAAUGGACUUAGUGGGUCCUGACAGUGAAAAGGAGGUCAGAGGCUGGAGUGUGUGGUUAAAUGAGUAGGGUCUACCACUGUGCAGUUCAGCCAGGAGAGCUGAGUGGUCCAGACAGCUACAGAAGCACCAAGAUUGGAGCUAGUGGCACAGCUCAGGCUGGCUCACCUCUGCUCAGCUAAGUUGGGUUAUAUAAGCAGGUAUCAACAUUUUGAAGUGGUUAUAUAGGCCUGGUGGGAUGGGUGUCCCUUCGUCCACUUCAUCACAUAAGAGAUAAAUCUUUGCUAUAAAUUGCUCAUGCUUCAGCAAAGAACAAUAUUUCUUAGUGGGUAUUGGAAGGUCUGGAGGCAACAGGCAAAUUCUAUUUCUCCAUGGCUGUGUCCCACUCACUCUCUAUUCUUCACCCAUUUUUGUCCUCAUUGUACUCAUAGCCAAUCAAACUGAGGAUCCACAAAGGCUGAUAUCAGAUGUAACUUCAUCAGAAUAUCCUCCUUGUGAAAGAUCUGUACCUAUAUUUAAUCUGCCAAGGUAAUAGGUUUAAGUGAAACACAGCUGACAUAUCCAACCCACUAAGCUAUUAUAUUUGCAUUUUAUAUUGAACAUCCCUGUAAUAUUCUCGUUGCUAGAUGGAACUGACAUUUCCAUAUGACGGUAAAGGCUAAAUUGUGAAUUGCUUUCAUCGGGGUUUUGCUUCAGUGAUUUCACCACGCUAUAGACAUAGACAAAAAAUCACAACAAAUACACAUAAGUAUCCAACACGUUUUGUGUGUGUGUGUGUGUGUGUGUAUAGUCUGUUCAGUGGCUUAAUUUGGACUUACGCAACAGAUCACCCACCCAGAAUCUAAUUAUUCAGCAACCAUGUUACUUAUUUGGAAUUGAUAAUAAUAAUAAAUGUUUUCUAAGAAGCUGGAGAAGCUGUCACUGAAGUGACAUCAUGGAGGUUCAGAGAUGGUAGAGAAUGCCGGUAGAGAACGCCUCAAGUGCUUGGUCUCAGUUGGAUGUGAGGUCUGUUUUAAGAAUGGUACACUGAUGGCCAGGAGCCCUUGGGGAUCAUGCACCAUGCUAGGCAGCCCUCCUUUCAAAGAAAGGCUUGUGAAAUCAGGACUUGGGAUCUUAGAUCUUUUUUAGUGUGGGAUUUGCAGGAAAGCAAGUUUGGCCUUUGCAAGGAUGGGAAGUGGCAGCACUGGUCCAUCGGAGGAGGGUUUUUGGGAAUAUUUUUGAGUGGCAGAUGAAGGAUUCUAGAAGAGUAUUCAUCCUGAGGAGAGGGUCAGACACACAGGCUUGACUUAAGAAGGAUGACACAGUAAUCAAAGGGGUGGGCGGAUUUGGGGUACAGGACGCCUUCCACUGUGAAGAAGACAGAUUAUCCUUCUCUCCUCCAUCCUCCAAGCCACAUCCCAGCACACAGGCUGAAUCCCAGUGACAAGUGAAAGAUUCGAGAAUGAUUUUCACACAAAGCCUCUUCGAGGGACAGGACAUGGGGGCCAGAAGGGCUUUGGGAACAAGGCAACUGAUUAUGGCAUAACAGUCAAGGAAAGAGAUUCUUUCCCAGCUAUGGAGGAGUUUCCAGGCUGUGGAAAUGCCAAAGGUGAAAAUGACAAAGUGGAAUUGAGGGAAUUUCAACCCGAAGCAGACACCUGUGCUCAUGGCCAUACCAGCCCCAUGUCCAGCGGGAUCCCUUAGUGACUGGAACCUGUGAUAUCACCAACUAUGGCAGCAGGGAGAUGUUGGCACACAGUGAUGCCACCAGCUUGAGGAAGGACAGGAGAGACUGCCUUUGCACGGACAGCAACCAGGAGAUCUCCCAGCAGCAGGGACAGAGCAGGAUGGGGCACCCUCACAAAGACUGAUACAUGGCAGAGGACUUAGAAACCAGCAGGGGUUGAGAAGACUGAUGUGAACACAUGUGACAUCCCCUUUCCCAGUUCACUCCCCAGAGUACCUGGGGGAGAUUUGGAGCAGAAGUGGGGGCUUACAAUUGCAGGUGGAGGUCAAAGCCACCUAUAUUAACAGAGCCCAGCUCUAUAUAGCUUUGACCAGAGAAACUGGUGAUCUCAGCAACCUAUUCUUGGAAACUCUGUGAAGGGAGGAUGGGUGGUCAAACUCCACUUGUAUGGACAAUGAUAACUAAUUUAGAACCUUGCGCUUACAUUUCCCCCAAAACUCAUAGCAGUCACCACACUGCCCUCUCAUUGUUGAUUUACUCAUCUGUCUCCUCUUGCAAGAUGUAAGCUCCUUGAGGAAAGGAACUAUAUUUUAUUCAUCUUCACAUCCCCACUUUUCUGUUUUUUUGUUUGUUUCUUUGUUUAAUACAGUCUCGCUCUGUCACCCAGGCUGGAGUUCAGUUGUGUGAUCAUAGCUCACUGUAGCCUCAAACUCUUGGGCUCUAGCAAUCCUCCUGCCUUGGCCUCCCAAAGCACUGGGAUUACAGGCAUGAACCACUGCAUGGGGCCCACAUUCCAAAUUUUCAACACUGUGUCAGGCAAACAGCAGACACUCAAUCCAGGCAUGUUGGAUGAAUAAAUAGAUGAUGCCUUAAAAAAAUAGAUGAUGAAUAAGUCAUAAUAAUGAGAUGGCCUCAAAUGAGAGGUAGGUUAUGUAAAUAAGCAAAGAUGGUGUCCAAGGAUGUUGUUCCAAAGACGUAGGGCUCCUUCUGGGGAGGCUGUCAUGGGGAGUUAGGAGGAAUUUGUAUGGUCCAGAGCUGGCCCCUACCUGGGCCCUUCCAGAACCCCAUGGAAACUCAUCAGAUUGUAGCCCCUAGUACUGAUCUAGGUGUUCUUGAGGUGAGCAGAGAGGGUAGCUGGGCCACACCUCAACUACUUUAAACUCUUAGUAAUUGAAGAAGUGAAAGCGUAAGAGUAAGGGUCCUAGAAGGUGAGAAGAGAUGACAGAUGAACUUGUCCUGCCUCUUUAGGUCUGGGAACCUUAAGAGGGUUGAGUCCUUGGGCGUGGACCAUGAUAGGCUAUACUUCAGUGAGAUGUGGGCCUUGGGCUGCUGUGGGAUGUGCACAGAGAUUAUUCCACAGGACAGAGGCCAUUCCCCUGUUUCCUUCUCUUAGGAUGUAGUAAGGAAGCUCCACUCCUGUGAGCAGUCCCAGGGUCCCAGCCAAGGUUUCUUGGUUAUGCUUCCAACAAGGGUGGCACUUUGGCCAGAGGAGCUUCACUAGAUGACAGGGCAGUUACAUGUCUGUUGAUUCCAAGCCGCAGAGUUGUGACCUUUUAGGAGAGAGCCGAGGCAUUAUGAGCCAGGAGUGAACCAUCCUGAACACCAAGCAUGGCUGGCAGCAUCAG